AUGUGUCGUGGAGGGUGGAGCGCGGCGAUUUGCUUAAAUCCCCCUGCGGAAAGCAGUUGGCCAGGACGGCUGAGUGGGUUUGUGCUUUGGCUCCAGCCGUUCCCUUGGAGCGUGUCUUGGCAGCGCUUGCCGCUCCGCACUGGGGGGAGCGGGACGGGGCUGAGCGUGGGUCUCCGGCUCACCGGCGGGAAGGGGACACCCAAGGGGCAGGAGCCGUCCCACUUGGAGAGCACGUCCCGGGGCGCAGGGCUGCCCCGAGCCGGGAACGGGGGCGCCCGUGGCUCUCCCAGCCCGAAGCCGGCCGUGCGGGCAGCGCGGUGGUGGUGCACCCUUCUCCCACGGUGCAAGAGCGGGGAACGGACUCGCCCCAGCACGGCUGAGCUCGCGGCUCUCCCUGGGGAAAUUCCCACUCCCUCUGGCCUCCCUGCCAUUGCACAUCCCGUUCAUUUGCAAUUUGGUUGGUCUGGGUGCUCCGUUUUUGGAGCUGGAGGGAGUUUGGAGCACAAAGCAAAACCAGCUCCGCUGCCCCAGCCACCUCUGCCGAGCUCUGGGACAGGCUCGCCGUGGGCAGCCCAGCGCUGGCUAGCAAGCGGGGCUCCGGCGGUGGCUCCGGCGGCCGCUCMUCUCCCCCGGCCCCUUUGUCUGCGGCUGUUUGCUAGGGAGCGAAAUGGCUUCCCGCACGGGGAGCUGCCCGCAGGGAGCGGGUCCCUGCUGUGCACCGCGCUGCCCUCGCCGUGGGCCGGGGCCCCACGGGGCAGCGGGCUGCAGAGCCGAGCAGGAGAGCCGGUGUGGACGAGAGCCCCUUGCAAUAUUGGCCACGGAAGCCGGGGGGAUUCUCCCUGCGCAGCCGCUCCGAAAGCAGCUGUCGGUGCAAAGAGAUCUCCUGCACAUGUCAGCGGGAGCGGGAGCUGCGGAGCCCGGCUAACCCCUUCAGCGCCAGCCCAAGCCCCGCGCCCGGGGCUCCCUGCAGAAUCUGCUCGGCUGCGGGUGCGCAAUUGCACAGGCAACGCUGCGUUUUGGUGCAGAUAUGUGGGAUUUGUGCGGCGGGAGGCCUCCGGUGAGAUACACGCUCUUGGUGUUAAUGCACAGGUUCACACYUCUGCCUCUGAAAUCGUUAAACCCUCAAAGGGCUGCAGGAGYGCGGCUCCCGGAUUAGCCGGAGCGGCAAUGCUGUGCUACCGGUGCUAG
rnacentral:lncRNA from 1 species